rnacentral:rRNA from 1 species
GACGAACGCUGGCGGCGUGCUUAACACAUGCAAGUCGAACGGAAAGGCCCUGCUUUUGUGGGGUGCUCGCGUGGCGAACGGGUGAGUAACACGUGAGUAACCUGCCCUUUACUUUGGUAUAACUUCAGGAAACUGGGGCUAAUCCCGGAUAGGAGCUCCUUCUGCAUGGUUGGGGUUGGAAAGUUUCGGCGGUUGGGGAUGGACUCGCGGCUUAUCAGCUUGUUGGUGGGGUAGUGGCUUACCAAGGCUUUGACGGGUAGCCGGCCUGAGAGGGUGACCGGCCACAUUGGGACUGAGAUACGGCCCAGACUCCUACGGGAGGCAGCAGUGGGGAAUAUUGCACAAUGGGCGGAAGCCUGAUGCAGCAACGCCGCGUGCGGGAUGACGGCCUUCGGGUUGUAAACCGCUUUCGCCUGUGACGAAGCGUGAGUGACGGUAAUGGGUAAAGAAGCACCGGCUAACUACGUG